AUUGAACGCUGGCGGCAUGCCUUACACAUGCAAGUCGAACGGCAGCACGGGAGCAAUCCUGGUGGCGAGUGGCGAACGGGUGAGUAAUAUAUCGGAACGUGCCCAGUCGUGGGGAUAACGUAGCGAAAGCUACGCUAAUACCGCAUACGAUCUAUGGAUGAAAGCGGGGGAUCGCAAGACCUCGCGCGAUUGGAGCGGCCGAUAUCAGAUUAGGUAGUUGGUGAGGUAAAGGCUCACCAAGCCGACGAUCUGUAGCUGGUCUGAGAGGACGACCAGCCACACUGGGACUGAGACACGGUCCAGACUCCUACGGGAGGCAGCAGUGGGGAAUAUUGGACAAUAGGGCGGAAAGACCUGAUCCAGCCAUGCCGCGUGUGUGAAGAAGGU
rnacentral:rRNA from 1 species